rnacentral:rRNA from 1 species
UACAGAGGUCUCAAGCGUUGUUCGGAUUCAUUGGGCGUAAAGGGUGCGUAGGUGGCAUGGUAAGUCGGAUGUGAAAUCCCGGGGCUCAACCCCGGAACUGCAUUCGAUACUGCUGCGCUAGAGUACUGGAGAGGAGAUUGGAAUUUACGGUGUAGCAGUGAAAAUGCGUAGAUAUCGUAAGGAAGACCAGUGGCGAAGGCGGAUCUCUGGGCCUUACCUGACGCUGAGGCGCGAAAGCUAGGGGAGCGAACAGG